rnacentral:rRNA from 1 species
GCCAGAGCCAUAUCUCCCUGCAGCUCUCGCCUGGUUUCCCUCUGAAGCUAAGCAGGGUUGAGCCUGCCCAGUACCUGGAUGGGAGACCUCCUGGGGAAAACUAAGGUUGCUGCUGGAA